AGCCAUGUUUUAGUCUCUGUCCUUUGGUGCGAGAUAAGGAUACGUACGGAGAGGUUGUUCAAGAUUAAAGCCAAAGCAGAGUUCCAAUCCUGUGUGAGUCUGUGUGAUGCAUUGCUUGUGUAAAACACAAGGACCCUCGUUCGGGUUUUUAUUUAUUUUCACUGCUAGCUGAAAGAAAAUUGCACCAUGUGCACCGGCUUCGCGGUCCGAGCACGUGGGCUGGCAAGGACACAAAAAAUGGAGGCUGACCAAAUGGGGGUUAGUUGAUAAUCGGUUCAUACAAUACGGCUGAUUUUGAAGAACAAAGCAACGAUCAUGAGCAUCAAGAUGGAUGCCGAAUGGCUGCUGGUUAAGUCAGUAGUUAUUAGGUGAUGGCACCCGUUCGGUGAUGUAGCCAUAGACGGAAUGUCUUGCUUCAGAUCAUCUGCUGUUGUCCGUGGGGAUGUUUGGGAAGUGAACUCUGAAUGAAAGCUAAAGCUUCACUGAUCGUCAUUCUGGUUAUAUACAAACUAGAGGGCUGUUUCACAAAUCCAGGAUAGCGGAUUAAGCUGGGAUUUUCUGGAUAUCCUGUCUUAAUUAAACCUCAAUUCAGUGUUACAAAAGAAAUAACACACAAGUUACCAUGGUGAUUUAUUUUGUGAAGCUAGCCUGCUCCAGACCAGGCUAGUAGCUAGGCUUAGUUAAGCCUGGAACCGUAUCUGUUCAGUCAGCAGUCGCAGCAAUCGGAAACCAAGGAGUUUUGUCCAUGAUUCCAU